rnacentral:rRNA from 1 species
AUUGAACGCUGGCGGCAGGCCUAACACAUGCAAGUCGAACGGUAACAGGAAGAAGCUUGCUUCUUUGCUGACGAGUGGCGGACGGGUGAGUAAUGUCUGGGAAACUGCCUGAUGGAGGGGGAUAACUACUGGAAACGGUAGCUAAUACCGCAUAACGUCGCAAGACCAAAAAGGGGACCUUCGGGCCUCUUGCCAUCGGAUGUGCCCAGAGGGGAUUAGCUAGUAGGUGGGGUAACGGCUCACCUAGGCGACGAUCCCAGCUGGUCUGAGAGGAUGACCAGCCACACUGGAACUGAGACACGGUCCAGACUCCUACGGGAGGCAGCAGUGGGGAAUAUUGCACAAUGGGCGCAAGCCUGAUGCAGCCAUGCCGCGUGUAUGAAGAAGGCCUUCGGGUUGUAAAGUACUUUCAGCGGGGAGGAAGGGAGUAAAGUUAAUACCUUUGCUCAUUGACGUUACCCGCAGAAGAAGCACCGGCUAACUCCGUG